UACAGAGGUGGCAAGCGUUGUUCGGAAUUACUGGGCGUAAAGGGCGCGUAGGCGGUCUUCUAAGUCUUGUGUGAAAUCCCUCGGCUCAACUGAGGAACUGCACGGGAUACUGGAAGACUUGAGUUCGGGAGAGGGAAGCGGAAUUCCGGGUGUAGCGGUGAAAUGCGUAGAUAUCCGGAGGAACACCGGUGGCGAAGGCGGCUUCCUGGACCGAUUACUGACGCUGAGACGCGAAAGCGUGGGGAGCAAACAGG
rnacentral:rRNA from 1 species